rnacentral:rRNA from 1 species
ACGGCUCAGUAACACGUAGUCAACCUGCCCUGGAGACCAGGAUAACCCCGGGAAACUGGGAUUAAUACUGGAUAGGUCAUCUCAUCUGGAAGGAGAGAUGGCUUAAAGGGGUGUGUGAGCUUCUUUCAUACAGCUGCUCCAGGAUGGGACUGCGACUGAUCAGGCUGUUGGCGGGGUAAUGGCCCACCAAACCAGUAACCAGUACGGGCCUUGAGAGAGGGGGCCCGGAGAUGGACACUGAGAGAAGGGUCCAGGUCCUACGGGGCGCAGCAGGCGCGAAACCUUCGCAAUGCGCGAAAGCGUGACGAGGUUAAUCCGAGUGGUUCCCGCUGAGGGAAUCUUUUGUCGGCUCUAAAAAGGCCGGCGAAUAAGGGGAGGGCAAGUCUGGUGUCAGCCGCCGCGGUAAUACCAGCUCCUCGAGUGGUCGGGGCGAUUAUUGGGCCUAAAGCAUCCGUAGCCGGUUCUGUAGGUCCUCUGUUAAAUCCAACGGCUUAACCGUUGGCCCGCAGAGGAUACCGCAGGACUAGGAGGCGGGAGAGGCAGACGGUACUCUACGUGUAGGGGUAAAAUCCUUUGAUCCGUAGAAGACCACCAGUGGCGAAGGCGGUCUGCCAGAACGCGCUCGACGGUGAGGGAUGAAAGCUGGGGGAGCGAACCGGAUUAGAUACCCGG